rnacentral:rRNA from 1 species
GACGAACGCUGGCGGCGUGCUUAACACAUGCAAGUCGAACGGAAAGGCCCUGCUUUUGUGGGGUGCUCGAGUGGCGAACGGGUGAGUAACACGUGAGUAACCUGCCCUUGACUUUGGGAUAACUUCAGGAAACUGGGGCUAAUACCGGAUAGGAGCUCCUGCUGCAUGGUGGGGGUUGGAAAGUUUCGGCGGUUGGGGAUGGACUCGCGGCUUAUCAGCUUGUUGGUGGGGUAGUGGCUUACCAAGGCUUUGACGGGUAGCCGGCCUGAGAGGGUGACCGGCCACAUUGGGACUGAGAUACGGCCCAGACUCCAACGGGAGGCAGAGGUGGGAAAUAUUGCACAAUGAGCGGAAGCCUGAUGCAGCGGCGCCGCGUGCGGGAUGACGGCCUUCGGGUUGUAAACCGCUUUCGCCUGUGACGAAGCGUGAGUGACGGUAAUGGGUAAAGAAGCACCGGCUAACUACGUG